GUCUUUGAUUUGUGAGCUAUGAGAUGGUGGUAGCUUAGAGUUCACUCUCCCGGCCCAGUUGGUCUUACUUACUGAAUUUGCCAUAUUAGGUUCUUACCUAAGGUUUUAGUCAACCAUUGGGUGUCAGCCCAGUGGCCACCGGCCCCCACCUUAAACCGGCCCGAGAACAAUCGAGGUUACGGGUUCGAAACAUGUUUUAGCCCCUCGGGUUGGCAGGGGUUUCACCGUCAGGCAGCGUUGUCGGUUCGCUAGCUUGGGAAGGGGGAUCCCUUCCACGGUCGGGGGUACCGUGCAUCUUCCAUUUUUAAAGGUUUUAGUUUAAAUAUUAACGACGGCUCGGCUCGAUUUAACGUGAUGUCUGCGCUGCAACGUGCAUGGGAAUCAUACUAGUUAGAUCUAAAUUUGGAAAAGGUCAACCGAAGACGAUGGCGCAAGAUCUCUUUGUUCACAAGUCUCUAAGUUCACUUAACAAAGCUUAAUUGUCAAUGAUGGAACCAGAGACUCUAGUACUAUCAAGGUGGAGAUAAGGGGAUGAUGUAAUACGACAAAUGGACGGAAGGUGACAGACUGAAGGACCAAUUCCCACGGAUCUUCAAUCUGGUGCAACACAAAAAAGCAGUCAUACAAGACUGCUUCAGGGGGGUUAAUCAAGGCAUCUGUUGGGAUCUAGCAUGGCGGAAUCCCCCUGAUUCUGCAGCGGAAAGAAGCGAGUGGGUCGAGUUGCCGAGCCUUCUUGAGAAGCAAAACAUCACAACAACUGGGGAUGUGUGGAGAUGGGUUACUGAUGGUGUCAAGAUCAUGUCUUCGGUUAAACAGGCGUACAUCGAUUUAUAAAAUAGAAUAAACCAGGGGGCGCAGCCCAAUCCCAUAAUCUGGAAUGAUAUUGCGGUGCCGAAAGUUAACUACUUUUGUUGGAGAGCGGCCCUUCACAAAAUCUCGAUGGUCGACGCUCUAACGAAAAGGAAUGUGAAGAGAGGGGGGGAUGCAAGAUCUGUGGCAUCAAACAAGAGACGACUGACCAUCUGCUGGUAGGCGUCCAUUUCGCCAAAGCAGUGUGGUGGCUUGUUUGUGUUUGGGUGAAGAUUGCGAUUCAGACAAAUUUCGAUAGUGUGGCAUCCAUGUUUUCUCACUGCAGUAGUCAAGACAGGUGAAGACUUUGGCAACGAUAAAAUAUUCAACUGGAAACACAAAACCAUAAGCAUGGUGCUGGAAGAAAUCAAAUUUGGUUCCUACUGGUGGGUGGAGAAAAGCAGUCGGAUCGGAGGGUUGUGAAAAGAGAACUGGAAUGAUUUUACCAAUAUAGACUUUGUUUAAUUAGUAGGGGGUGUAUGUUUUGUUUUGGCUAUCUUGGUGUGUUCAUGUGGUCUUAGUCUCUUGCUAAGUCUCGUUGUAUGUUUGUUUGUUGGUCUUCCAAUAAGAGUAUUCUUUGCUG
rnacentral:lncRNA from 1 species